GAACAUCAGAAACUGGGUUGUACCACUUGUGACUAAGCAGAGCCCCAGUUCGGUGACCGAGGAGCCGCCAGGGCGACGCGGGCCUCCUGCAGGACAAUGGCCCCUGCCCGCUGUGCGCGCGCGCGCGCGCGCCACUCCCGGCCCGGGAGCCCCGGCCGCCGGCGCUUGACGCACGCGGAGCCGCGGAGGCCGCGACCCCGGCCUCCUGGAACCCGAGAGCGGCUAGCAAGACGAGCCGGGUCAGGUCCCCGGGGGAGGCCGGGCGCCACCCGACCCGCAGGAACGCGGGUGGCUGUAAGGGAGGGACCGGGGAUGCGGGCACAUCCUUCCGUUGCCGCUCUGCCUCUGCACCCCCUGGCGUGGCGCCGGCCGGUCCCAUUUCAUCCUCCCCACGAACCUCCAAAGCGGUGCUACCAUGAGCCACGUUCACAAACGAAAUCCUCCAGCCUCACGGAAGAUAUGAACUUGCCCAAGCCGCCUCGGCUGGGAAGGUGGAGUGAAGCGACUUGAAUACAGGACUUUUCUUCUUCUUUUACUUUAUUUCGCGCGGCUCCCGAUUCCUAGGGCGCCAAGGAAGGUAAUUCGCGCCGCUUCGCGCCGGCUGUCGCGAUGCUUCCCGGAGCAGUCCAGGGUGCGCCUUCUGGGGAGCGCUGGGGCGGAGGCAUCGGCUGCGCUGAGUGAUGCAGGAGAGACUUAUUAUGAGCAGGUGCUAAAACCUGAAUGUCCUUGGCUGCUUCCUCACUGAGCUUGUGCUGAGAACUAAAGUGGAAAUGACCCAGUGAGGAAGGAAAGUGAGCACUGCCUGCCCUGGCCACACAAUUAAAACAUAUACGCCGGCCAAAGGUGCAUUACUCCUCCGCCCAUCUCUUCAGAGUGAGAAAGGCUCUUUUUGACCUGGAAGCCUAUUAAAGCAUUCCACUUGGGGAAUUCUCUGCCCCUGCUGAAGGGACACUGUGAGAAAAUCUUGUUCUUUAGAAUGCAGCCACACAAAGGGUUUUGUGCAAAUACCGAGUCAUGAUUCUAUAAAUGCAAAGAAGAAUUAGGGAUGGUAUGUGAACAAAAGCUGGACAGAGGAUGCACGCCCAGAUGCUGUCUUGGCCAGGUUGCAGUUUGAAUGAUCUAAUGUUUUCUGGCUCCUUCCUUUGCUUUUCCAAUUUGGUUUGAAUAUUUGCAUUGCUGUAUUAUUUUCCUGGUACAAUUGCUGUUGUCUGUACACAAUUAGGUCAUUUUCACAGUUGGGUGAGGAGACACUUCAGACCUGAGAUGAGCUGCAGCUGUUAGCUGAUUCCCUCCUGGGGUGUGUAAUUAGAUUCCCAUCUUGUUGGUCCCAAAGACACCUCUUGCACCCAACAUCUGAAAGUUUUAAUGUAAGCCAUUUAGCCAAGUGGAAAGAAACCAUGGCAUCCCUUUGUAAUGGUGGCUAAGCACAUCUUGUCUCUGUAAGUUUCGGGUUAAUUUGCUGGUCUAGUCAUCCUGCUCUUUGUGCCGAACAUAACCUUGCAUUUCUAUGCUCCAGACAGGAGAAAAGGCCUGUUUCCUGGCAGCCUGUGGCUUCUUGGUUUGUGGCAGGUCUGCUGAAGACCUGGACAAGGCAGGAGAAAAGGAAAUUAACAGGAUGAGGAGGAAGGACCAGCUGCCUCCAGAAGUGCACACGGAAAUUCAUGUAGAUGCUCCGAUCAGUACAGAGGCUAGACUUUGAACUAGGACUUUGAAGAGUGAGAGAAAGGGGAUCCCAAAGGAAAGGAGGCUUAUUUGGCAGGUGAAAGCUGAUCAGGGCCAUGUCCACAAAGUUCUCCACAAUGCCUCACUGGUGUAAACUCUCACUGAUACACACUGACUGAUAGAGCUUUCUCAACUAAGUGGAGUUUGUGGCCCUUCAGUCAAGGCCAGGGCUAAAGUUUACGUCCAUGCUACUUUGAACUAAGGUUGGGCUAAACAAAUGGAAAGGACAUCUAUGAUUAUAAUCACUAGGGAAGCCCCCUGACUCUUAACAUGCUUCAUAAUCAGACUUGACUGUGCCCAGCUGAUUGAAAGGGCAGGAUGGUCUCUCUGGCUCAGCCUUCUCAUUGUUUUCUGCUUGCUUUCUCUUUGGUACCUUAGGUCUGAAUCUGAGAGUGGCCUUGUUACUCCUCUUUUCUUUUUUCCUUUUUAUCCAGAUCACUCGUUCACCAUUCAUUUACUAGCUAUUUGAUCCCCUUCUGUGUGUCAGACAUGUGUUAGAUGCUGGAGUUACAAGUGAGCAAGGAGUCUUUGCUUUCAUGGAGCCUGCAGUCUCGUGAGGAACACCAACCAUGAGUGUGAAAGGGAAACCCAUAUUCAGGUGCUGAGUGAUGGCUGAAGGAUGAGGCAGCCAACCCUGAGAGAUGGGACACCUUAUCUAAGCUCUCACAGAUGGCUGAUGACAAAGUUGAAACUAAAGAGAUCAUUUGGGAAUAGAAACCUGGCCUCCUGCCAUCAUCUCCUUCGAAGGCACCACACUCACAGUCUUUUCCUCUAAUUCUUUCUCAUCGAGUUGCACGUGCUUAGUACUUACCCUUUUCUCAAAACUGAGCUAUUCCCAUCUCAGUAGAAUUCACAUUUGUCACUAAAGCUAGAUGUCUGUCCUAUCUCUAAGAAUUGAUGUGCUGUGCUUUGAGAACUAAACCCAAUACAAACCUAAGUAACAAAGCUACUAUCUAAAAUAUUGAUUCAAUACAUGAAUCCAUCAAGGGAUCAACCAUUAAUUAAUACUAGGUUCUGUGAGGGCAGGACAUGUCUUCACAUACAGGAUGGCCCCAUCCCUAAAGGAAUCUGUGGACAAGCUGAUGGUACAGGGUUAAAGAGGGAAGAAAGUAGGCAUUUAUUGAGUACUUAUUGUGUGGUAUGCAGUGUACUACCUGCUUGUCCUUACAGUAUCUCAGAUAAUCGUCACAACAAUCUAGGAGGUUGGAGUGACUUCUUAAUGUAUGGAUGGAAUGCCCUCCCCCAAUCCCUGUCUGUUCAGGCGCAACGUAGCAUAAUAGCUAAAAGCCUUGUAACAGGACUCAAACUUCUUGAAUUCAUAUCCAGGCAAUGCUAACUACUUUUGGUAUGACUGAGCAAUAUAGAUUCUCUGUACUUCAGUUAUUAAAUUGGAAUGAUAAGGAUGGUGCCAAUUUUAUGCUUUGUUGUAAGGAUAAGAUACAUGGGAAGUACUUGCCACAGUGUCUAGUACAGAGUAAGCACUAGAUAAAAAUUAGGAAUUGUUGUUAUUAUCCAGCUCCAAUCCCUUUUCAUCUGCAAAGCCUUCCCAGAUCCCCCAUCAGAAUUGAUCUCUUUUGCUUCUGUAGUCUGACAUUACUGUGGGCAUGUCUUAGCACAUUCUUAUGUGUACGUGGUUAUCUGUCUGGCUCAGAAAACACAUUUAAUAAAUGUCGAUGGUUGGAUGAAUGGAUGUUUCUGUCUCCUAGAUCUCUCUCCUGUGCUCAUAGAAGGAAGAUAGUAUUGUGUUUCUUGCUAUAAGGCAGACAAAACACCCAGAUGUUCUAAAUAAAAUACAACAAAUAUACUUUGAAUGCAUGGCCAAACUCUUGUGUAAAUUAGGAAAAUCCUCAUGGACACACACACUCAUACAAAGAGGGACUGGAAUUCAGAGAGGUAAACUGCUACUGAAACUCUGCUGCUUUGAGAAAUCUGACUAUCUUGUGACUUUGGGGUUUGGUUUCAGGGACUUUAUGGAGGACAGAAGACAAGGCAUAGUGUUCUCAAAAGAUGGUAAGCUGGAGUGAGAUGUCUGCAUAAAAGUGAGACUCACGAGGGUAGACUAACGGAAGAAAAAACAAAACCCUAUCUAUAUGAAGAAAAAUAAAAGAAAUGUCUGUCUUGGCCUGUCAUAAGAUGUUAAAAUCACAGACUUCCCCAUCACAGAUUUUGCAUUUAAAUUUGUAUUACCUGCAUGGUCUGGGAACUAUGGCUGAAAAUUAGUUUCGGUUGGUCUCAGAUUGGUAACAUCCCAGAGCACCUGGCAUCUUCACUGGAGGGAUAGUCACUAAGGUCUCACUGGAGUCUAACAGAUAAAGCCCCACUGAACAUGAGAUCACAAUCUAAAAUUACAAAUCACACUAGGAAACAAGCUACCAUGAGUGAAAACUAGUAGAAACCAUAGAACUAGACAUUAUAACAGUUAUCAUAUAUGAAAUAUAAAUUGCUUAAAAUGUUUAAAGAAAUAAAGGGGGAAACAAAGACAUAAAAAUGAAUAAAUAAAAUCUAAAAGAUCAGGAAGAAUUGAGAAAGAACCAAAUACUACUUCUGGAAAUAAUACAUAAUUAUUAAAGUUAGAAAUAUGGCAAAUACAUAAAAGUAGCAUAGAUACAGAUAAAAGGAGAGUUAGGGAACUGGAAGACAGAUCUGAAGAAAUUGCUCAGGAUACAGGAGAAAAAAGGGAGAGCUAGAGAGACAAAGAAAUGUGAAACAUAAGAUGUUAAAGGAGUCAGGGAGGAAAAAAAUAGAAUAUGAGAAAGGCAGCAUUUAGAUAAAAUGGCUAAAGUUUCUAGAGUUCAGUUCAGUCGCUCGGUCAUGUCCAACUCUUUGUGACCCCAUGGACUGCAGCAUGCCAGGCCUCCCUGUCCAUCACCAACUCCCGGAGUUUACUUAAGCUCAUGUCCAUUGAGUCAGUGAUGCCAUCCAACUGUCUUAUCCUCUGUUGUCCCCUUCUCCUCUCUCCUUCAAUCU
ensembl:lncRNA